rnacentral:rRNA from 1 species
AUGGUCGAUAUCGAGAACCCGCCCGCUGCUCCCAGACCUAGUCCCGCCGGAGAUGCCGCCGCCGACAACAACAACGCAGCGACGGCGGAGCCCAGCCGGCACGGCUUCUGGGCGUGGAAAGAAAGGUUCAUCAUCACGUACUUCACCCACGACCCACCCGACCACGGAGACGACGACGAGGACGCCGCGGUGGACGCCGAUGAGUGUAGCAGGUUCAGUUUUCUUUGUCUAGGGGUUCUCGCCGGGCUCGCCGUUUUUGUUGGCGCCAUGCUUCUCCUAGUCUUCUUCCAUCAGCCGUCCCAAUCCACUGCUGGAUCGGUGGUCUACAUCGCCGUCCGUGUGCUCGCAAUAUCAGGCCUGUUUGUCGGGCUAUGCUGGGCAGGCUUUUUCCUUAACCUUUGUGACGGGAUGUGUGAAGGUGAUAAACAUGCAGAGGUGAUGAUAGACAGAUUUAUGUAA